GGGCCCGUAGCUCAGCGGUAGAGCACCUGCCUUUUAAGCAGGGUGUCGAAGGUUCGAUCCCUUCCGGGCUCA
rnacentral:tRNA from 1 species